UCUCCGGAUAAGCUCAGUCGGCUACUCCUCCGAUCCAACUUGUGGAUUGUCGCGAGCUUCUUUCACUUUUUCUCCCUCACUCACGUUCAUCUGCAUUGGAGCGGAAGCCCGGAGGUGAAGUUGUUUGGGAGGGAGCCUCGAGGUGACGGACGGCCUGGUGAGUUGAGGAGCAACUAGCGAGCUCCCCUGAGAGGUUUCACUGGAAAAGUCGUCGUUGACAUGUCGUGGUAUUCCCUGUCACUUUAGUUGUGGUGAAGCUGUCAUCUUGGUCUUAUUUUGUGGAGGUUUUUCAAGAGGGUGUCUGAUGGGUGGUGUAGAGUGAGGUCUAUGAUGCAGGGCUUCUUUGCUUCCAGCCACAGGGGUGGCCUCUUUCAAAGGCCUGUGAUCUUCUGCUUUGUGAUUAGUUCUAUUUGUCUAUAAGCUGUCUGGCAUUUUGGUUUCCUGGCUUCUUAGUUCUUUGCUGAUCUUGAUAUCUUCACUCUGCAACUUAUCUUCCUCUCUUGAAGGUGAGGCUUAAUGUGAAUAUGAUUACUUAUUUAUUUAUUACAUUUUUAUAUUGUUAUAUGUUCUUUCCAAUUCCUUUUGUGUGAUUCAUUGGAACAUGUUAGAUGAAUGCUAUAAGCAUAUAUCAAUUAUUAAUUGUUCAUUGUCAAUGGUUUACAACUACAUUUAUCACUAAGUGGUUUGUGCUCUCUGUAUGCGUAUGCGGAGUUCUUUUUUGUGCACAUGGUUAAUGGGCUUGGUUUGGAGUUUAGUUACUACAGUGGAGGCCACUAUUUUGAUAUUUUCACCUAUGAGUUGUUGGUUACUUCAUUUUUGAUAUUUUCACCUAUGAGUUGCUGGUUACUUUAUUUACAUGUCUGCAUUAUGUAUUUGGUUGUCAUUAUAAUUUUAUCCUUACUGUAUGUAUGAUGUCUUAUUUUUGAGCUAAUAUGUAUUGCAGGCCUGUGAUCUUCUGCUUUGUCAUCAGUUUUAUUUAUCUAUAAGCUGUCUGGGAUUUUGGUUUUUUGGUUUUUUAGUUCCUUGCUGAUCUUGAUAUCUUAGCUGUGCAGCUUAUCUUCCUAUCUUGAAGGUGAGGCUUAAUGUCAAUAUGGUUACUUAUUUAUUUAGUACAUUUUUAUAUUGUUAUAUGUUCUGUCCAAUUCCUUUUGUGUGGUUCAUUGUUACUAAUAUUCUAAUUUAUCUUUUCCUUUUUUUUAUUUUUUCCCUUGUUCUAUUCUAGAGGUGCUAGUGCGCCAUUUUUUUAUAUACUUAUUAUAGGAUGUUUUUAGUGGGUGCAUCCUAUAUUUCUUUAUUACAGGCUGUGGUCAGCCGGUGACAGUCGAUAUCUGCUUCUUAUUUAUGCGAGGUUGCUGACGAUGGAGCUGUCCUAGGUGGUGUAGAGAUCGAGUUGCCCCCUUUGCAUGCGCAGGUCACUCCUCGCUGUGUGUUUUUUUUGGAGUUGUCCUGAUAUUACUUAUAUGGCUCCUUAUGAGCAGGCAGUAUUUCAAGCUGUUAGUUUUCUCCAAGGUCUAUAUGGUUUUCUAGUGGUUGAUUAUAGCUACCAAGGCUUACUGUAUUAUAGGAGAGUGGCACAAUCAGCUAUUCGAGUUGCGGCGAGUUCCAUGUGUUGGGUAAGCCAUGUUCAUCAGCCUGCCCAUUUUCAGAAUAUGUUUCUUGAGGACAUCAAUCAGCCUUACCAAUUUUUUCUUGCUGAGAUUUCUUCCGGUGCUUUAUGGUUUUAGAUAUAUGUCUUCUAUUUUUGUUUGUUUUCCCUUGUGGAAAAAUUAUUCGUCAUAUAACCUUUGUUCUGCGUGUUCGCAUGCUUAUUAAUAAUAUUACUGUCCUACCUCUUACUAUUCUCUUUUCAUCCGUUAUACUUCGUUGCGAUAACUACUAUAACUAUGUGUUGAUGAUAUGUGGUGUGUCUUACUGUUCUCUUUUCGUUUGUUAUACUUCGUUGCGAUAACUACUAUAACUAUGUGUUGAUGGUAUGUGGUGUGCGGUUUCAUAUGUUCUUUCUCA